GACGAACCGUGCGAACGUUAUUCGGAAUCACUGGGCUUAAAGGGUGCGUAGGCGGCUAUGUAAGUCAGGAGUGAAAGUUUGCGGCUCAACCGUAAAAUUGCUUUUGAUACUGCAUGGCUGGAAUUAGGAUGAGGUCAGCGGAAUGUGGCAUGUAGCGGUGAAAUGCAUAGAUAUGCCAUAGAACACCAAUUGCGAAGGCAGCUGGCUAGACCUGGAUUGACGCUGAGGCACGAAAGCGUGGGGAGCGAACAGG
rnacentral:rRNA from 1 species